GACGAACGCUGGCGGCACGCUUAACACAUGCAAGUCGAACGAGAAGCUCGGAGCUUGCUCUGGGUGGACAGUGGCGAACGGGUGAGGAACACGUGAGGAACCUGCCCUGGAGACCGGGACAACAUCGGGAAACCGUUGCUAAUACCGGAUGCCCUCAUCGGACCGCAUGAUCUGAUGAGGAAAUGGAUUCCGCUCCAGGAUGGCCUCGCGGCCUAUCAGCUUGUUGGUGGGGUAACGGCCCACCAAGGCUUCGACGGGUAGCUGGUCUGAGAGGAUG
rnacentral:rRNA from 1 species